CAGCCGCCACGGGAAUACGUAGGGUGCAAGCGUUAAUCGGAAUUACUGGGCGUAAAGCGUGCGCAGGCGGUUUUGUAAGUCUGUCGUGAAAUCCCCGGGCUCAACCUGGGAAUGGCGAUGGAGACUGCAAGGCUAGAAUCUGGCAGAGGGGGGUAGAAUUCCACGUGUAGCAGUGAAAUGCGUAGAUAUGUGGAGGAACACCGAUGGCGAAGGCAGCCCCCUGGGCUAAGAUUGAUGCUCAUGCACGAAAGCGUGGGGAGCAAACAGGAUUAGAUACCCCGGUAGUCCCUGUCUCUUAUAC
rnacentral:rRNA from 1 species